rnacentral:misc_RNA from 1 species
CGUCAUCACUAGGUGCGGUCGCGGCCGACGAGGGAGAGGAGGAAGGUGCGGUAGUUGCCGGACGUCUCGGCGUGGAUGGCGUCGGCGAGCGAGCGCUUGUACAUGCUGUGGUACUCCGCCUUGAUGUACUGCAUGUCGAUCUCCGCCCUGGUGACCACCACCCGGAUGAGCACCGAGUCGCUGGUGCCCAGCCCCUUCAUGGCCCUGUGCAGCUCCUUGGCGAAGUACCUGGCGGGGCUGUCGGCGCAGCGGAGCACGGUGAGGAGACCGAAACCGAAGUUGCCCGACGUCUCGCUCUUGACGGCGCGCUCCAGGGGGCGGUCGUACAUGUGGUGGUACGCCCGGGCAACGGCCGCCAUGUGCGCCCAGCUCCGCUGGCUGAAGAUUCGGAUGAAGGCGCGCUCGUCGGUGCCCAGCCGCCGCUCGCCGGCCUUGUAGAGGUCGCGCGCGUCCAGCGUCACCGUCGACGGGUCGACCUCGUGGCCCUCGGCGCGCGGGAUGGCCAGGUACGCGAGCAGGAGGCGCUGGUGGUCGCCGGACGUGCGUUCGGUGACGUCGUGCUCGACGUAGCAGCCGAACCUGGCGCGGUACGUCUGGCGCAUGAUCUGCAGCUGCGACGGCGUCCGGGAGCAGACGAUCUCCGUGGCCGCCCGCAGGUUGGUGAUGUCGCCCGUGAGCGCCUGCUUCAGGAUGGUGGCGUCGCGGGUGGCCGGGUCCAGGAUCCACAGCAGCAUCGCCCGCUUGUGGUGGCCGCUCAGCUCGGACGCGAUGCGCCGGGCCAGGUCCUGGUUGAACACGGCCCGGUACUCCUGCUGGAUCAGCGAGCGCUGCGUCGCGUCGCGGUGCGCCAGGAUGUUGGUCACCGUCGUGCUGUCGCAACCGAACCCUCUGAAUGCUUUGUGGAGGUCGAUGGCGUCCUGCCGCGGCCACGCCGGCACCGGCGGCAUGGUCAGGCUCGCCAUCCCGUUAGACGCUGGUGUCGAGUGCUCGAGCUC